GAUCCCUGCAUACUUGAGAUCUUCCAAAGAUUAGCCUUGAGGAAGCAAAAAGAAGUGAAAGACAAUGAAAGGAAUGUAAGAAAGCACACUGGAGUCCAGAGACCGUAUUGGACUCUGGCAUUCAUUGAGAGCUCAGCAUUUCUGUACAACUAUUAGUAAAGAGCAAUCUUUCUUAAUAACAAUAUAACUGUAGAGAUAUAGUCCAGAGAUAUGGACAGAGCUAAUUUCUUUUUUAUAUCUUUAUGGCUUAAGUAUUUUGAUUACCUAAAGAGUCUGAUUAAUUACAACUUCCAAUAUCUAUUAUGCUCCCUUCCCUCCAUCCACACCAUUUUUAUUUGGCCUUUUGUCUCAUCUUUGAUGGAAAUUUUUGAGAGUGAAGUGGCUGACUUUACAGCUCCUUUUUGCUCUUGCCAAGCAUGUGGCUGAAUUUAUAAUCAAAUAAAUAAUAAAAAAAAAUGCAUUUCAAAAGCUCGAACACACAUCUUUCUGCUACUUACUUUGAUGGGCUUUCUAAGCAAGUUGGAUGCACCACAUCUAGGCCUUCACAUGCCUGGCACCAGGGCCUGCUCCAAUCAG